UCCCUGGUGGCUCAGAUGGUAAAGAAUCUGCCUGCUAUGCAGGAGACCCAGGUUCGAUCCCUGGGUUGGGAA
rnacentral:tRNA from 1 species